UGCACGCUUUAAAAAAUAAUAAAUAAAUAAAUUGAAUACUUCAGUCUCCAAUGAAUCAAUUCUGCAGUCUCAAAGUCUCUCAGCUGGUGACCAGUCGGGUCACUAUCUACCCGUGCGCCUGGUCCUCUGGGCUGGGGCUCCAUCCAGGUUCAGGAGAAUCUCUGGCCCUCCAGGCCAAAAGUGAAUCAUAUAAGCUCCAAAAACCUGACCUAUAACAAGGCCAAAGUAAAACAUCUUAGCACAUAAGAUGCCAGCAUCACUAAAGCUUAAGCUAUAUUUAAUCAUUUCUCAAGUUCUUAUGUUGUACAACAACAAGUUUACAGAAUACAAAUUUUCCAACAUAUUAGUAAAAUUAAAGAGAUUAGCUUAUAUGUGGUAAAAAAAGAAUAUAAUAUACAUUUGUGGUGGGAUGGUGUUCCACCCUCCCAACUACACACACCAGGUGUAGCGACUGAUUGGUGGGCGGGCCAGAUAGCUUUAAAGCUGAGCAGUCCGCUGCGAGGUGUGUGUGUCUUUGUUUCCUUUACUGUAUGUUGGCUGCCCAAGUGGCUGGUGUGCUCGAUCCACUCAUCCAAAAUACGUUGCGCGGCUGGAGUUGGCGGCUGCAGUUGGAGGUUGGUGCGGCGAGCGGCUUCCAUCCAGCCCUCGCCUGCUGAUCCGCUCCCUCCCUGGUCGGCUGUGUCACCACAUCUGGGAUUCUUUCGGAGUCGCAGCGCUUGGACGCUCCUGCUGUCUCGUCUUGCCGGUUUUGUUUGGGCCGCUCUCGACGGAGCCUGCGGACGUUUGGGCUGGCGGAACGAGCGGGGCACGAUUCCUCUGGCCCCGUGAAAGGACAUUAGAAGUCUGACAACAACAAUUUGUCCCAUCGUUUGCAGUGGUUGUGUUCUUUUCUUUGCCGUUUGUUUGCUUAUUAUUUAAAUUACUAAUUUGUUUGCUUUCCUUUGUUUUGAUUUACUAAUUUGUUUUCUUUUGCGUUGCAUGUUUUGUUUGUUCAUUCAUUUUGUUGGGAAUAAUUUAAAUUGUCCUUAUUUUGAUGCCUUUUCCUUUUAGGGGCUGAGUAGUGGGCCUGAGGCCAUGUUUUAAAAGAAAAGUGUUUUAAUGAAAUUGGUUAAUAAAUCAUUGUAGACUA